CAGGGUGGUUGCUAAGGUGUUGCUAGGUGGUUGCUAGGUGGUUGCUAGGGUGUUGCUAGGUGGUUGCUAAGGUGUUGCUAUGGUAUCCAGGGUGGUUGCAAAGGUGUUGCUAGGUGGUUGCUAGGCGGUUGCUAGGCGGUUGCUAAGGUGUUGCUAUGGUGUCUGUGGUGGUUGCUAAGGUGUUGCUAGGUGGUUGCUAAGAUGUUGCUAUGGUAUCUGGGGUGGUUGCUAAGGUGUUGCUAGGUGUAUCUGACUGGUCGCUAGGCAGUUGCUACCAUUUCUAAAGUGGUUGCUAAGCAGUUGCUAACGUUUUCCAGGUGGUUGCUAAGGUGUUGCUAUCUGGUUGCUAGGCAGUUGCUAACGUAUUACACAUGGUUGCUAAGUGGUUGCUAGGCAGUUGCUAAUGUUUUCCAGGUGGUUGCUAAGGUGUAUCUAACUGGUUGCUAGGCAGUAGUAGAUAAAAAGAAAGAGUGUUAAAUGUAGAAGUACAGAAAAAGGGAGAGCCUGAAAUAGAGAAGUAGAGAGAAAAUCAGCGUGAGAAGUAGAGAAAGAACACCCGAGAAUGUGAGAAAAAGAGUGACAAGUAGAGAGAAAUAUUGAGCGAGAGAAAGAGAAUUAGGGAAAAAGAGAGAUCGAGAAAUAAAGAAGUAGAGAAAGAAAGAGGAUGUAGUAGAGAGAUAGAUAGAAAGAGAAAGCAAGACAGAAAAGUAGAGUGAAAGAGAAGUAGAGAGAAGAGCGAGAAAUAAAGAGUAAGAGAGAAAUAGAGAAAUAGAAAAGUAGAAAGAAAGAGACAGAAAAGUAGAGAGAGUGAGAAAUAGAGAAGUAGAGAGAGAGUGAGAAAGAGAGAGUGAGAAAUAGAGAAGAAGAGAGCAAAAGAGAGUGAGAAAUAGAGAAGCAGAGAGAGAGUGAGAAAUAGAGAAGUAGAGAGAGAGUGAGAAAGAGAGAGUGAGAAAUAGAGAAGUAGAGAGAGUGAGAAAUAGAGACGUAGAGAGAGAGUGAGAAAGAGAGUGAGAAAUAGAGAAGUAGAGAGAGAGUGAGAAAUAGAGACGUAGAGAGAGAGUGA